GUGGCGGCGUAGGUGUUGGGGGUGGUGGUGGAGCAGGCGUGGGCGUCGGAGGUGGAGCAGGAGGAGGUGCGGGUGUCGGAGGGGGUGCUGGAGGAGGAGCCGGGGGCGGAGUAGGAGCUGGAGGUGGCGGCAGUGCUGGUGUAGGUGUAGGAGCGGGAGGUGGUGUUGGCGGAGGUGUCGGAGGAGGGGCAGGCGGUGGUGCCAGAGCUGGAGGAGGAAGUGGCGGCGGAGCUGGUGUUGGUGGAGGUGUCGGCGGGAGAAUCGGAAGCAAGAAACAUGUCGGGCUUUGAACAGAUGGGGAAGAAGGCUUCGGAAUCCGCCUUUUAUAUAUCUCCUACGGAGCUUAUUGCAAACGCUGUAGGAUUAAAACUGCUUAGCAUUUCAUCUUCGUAGUUGCUCACCGUGUUGUAUCGAUGUAUGUAUCGCAAUAAAGAGAAUGUCGAUUCUCUCCUAGCAAGCAAGCGAUCGUGCACA